GUAUUUUAAGACUUUUGGAGCUCUAGUCUCAAAAUGAAUAGGAUGGUAUUACGAACAGUGGAGAGCCCUGGCUUGCUUGCAAGUGUGAAAUCUGCUCUAGGGUCUUAAAUGAUGUCAAGUGAAAGCAAUGUCAACAGAGUGACUUGGUUGCCAGCAAGCUGUUGCAGGCAGAGGCUUUCCUGACGGAUGGGGUACAGAGAGGACGAUACCUGCCAAGUAGGAGGACGAUGUUCCUGGAGAAAAAUGGACAUGGGAUUUUUGGAUGCUGCUGCACUCCCUCGUUGUUGUUGAGAAGUUGCCCUCUUCCUCAGCAGGAUGAGUCAAGCCUGACUGGAGAUGGAGGAGAACUUGGACCCGUUGAUCUCUGAAGUCUUCCAUUCUGCAGACCUGGGAGCCUUAUUGCCUAGUACGUGGGAAGCCUGGAUGUGCCCAGACCCAACAGCAGGGUUGAGAUCGUGGCUGCCAUGCGCAGAAUCCGGUAUGAGUUUAAAGCCAAGAACAUCAAGAAGAAGAAAGUAAGCAUCAUGGUCUCUGUGGACGGUGUCAAGGUGAUUCUGAAGAAGAAGAAAAAGAAAAAGGAGUGGACGUGGGAUGAGAGCAAGAUGCUGGUGAUGCAGGACCCUAUCUACAGGAUCUUCUAUGUCUCUCAUGACUCCCAAGACUUGAAAAUCUUCAGCUAUAUUGCCAGAGAUGGUGCCAGCAAUAUCUUCAGAUGUAACGUCUUUAAAUCCAAAAAGAAGAGUCAAGCUAUGAGAAUCGUGCGGACAGUGGGACAGGCCUUCGAAGUCUGCCACAAGCUGAGCCUGCAGCACACACAGCAGAAUGCAGAUGGCCAGGAAGAUGGGGAGAGCGAGAGGAACAGUGAUGGCUCAGGAGACCCAGGCCGGCAGCUCACGGGAGCUGAGAGGGUCUCCACAGCCGCUGCAGAGGAGACAGACAUUGACGCCGUGGAGGUCCCACUCCCUGGGAAUGACAUUCUGGAAUUCAGCCGAGGUGUGACUGAUCUGGAUGCCGUAGGGAAGGAUGGAGGCUCCCACAUAGACUCAACGGUCUCACCCCACCCUCAGGAGCCCAUGCUGACAGCCUCCCCUCGAAUGCUGCUCCCUUCCUCUUCCUCGAAGCCGCCAGGCUUGGGCACGGGGACGCCCCUGUCCACUCACCACCAGAUGCAGCUCCUCCAGCAGCUCCUCCAGCAGCAGCAACAACAGACACAAGUGGCUGUGGCCCAGGUUCUCCUCAGCCUCCUCCCUUCUUCACAGGCUCCACUCUCAUGGGCUUGACGCACCUUCCCUAGCGAGGGGCUCAGGGCAGGUUUAAAACUUAGGGAGCUCUAAGGAAACUGCUCAUGCUAUGGGUUCAUUGCUUGUUGGGGUUCCGGGAAGUCAAAGGGGAGGGGGGACAGAUGGGGACUGCGGUUAAAAUGGAAAAAAAAAACAAAACAAAAUGAAACACAUUGGUUCCCCAUGUAUCCCUCGCUCUGAAUUAGGCUUGGCUGGCUUGGCUGAUGUUGUUGGAUAAUGACUUGAUCUUACCAAGGAAAAAAGAUGUACACAGGCCCUCCCUCCCUUUCCUGCCUUGUUUCCUUGUUUGGGGUGGGAAGGGGUGCCCUUGGAGUUAGGACAGGUGUGGCUAUGAUACUACUCUCAAAACGGCUCAAAGUAUGAAUCUGUGCCCAGCAUCCUUGCACAGACUUGCUACUCUGGCAUCCCAAACACUCUUGACCAUAAUGGGUACUCAAGACUCCAUUAGUGGUCCACUUAUUCCAGACAGUACUUGAUUAGGAAUUCAUUAUAAUAGCAAUGGACUUUUAGGAAUUUAGGUAGAUGAUCCGAGCCAUUUGAGAAGAACUGGCUACCUCUUAGCAUCCAGAUGGAGUCUGUGCCCUGAAGUCGGGUUGGAAUAUAGCUGCUUUGUGGGAGAUUGGGCUGAUCACCCUUGCUUGUUUUCAGAGGAAUCCUUGAGUUUGACUUCUAUGGAGGACACUGGUAAUUCAUGCUUCCUUGGAGACCAGUAGGCUGAGCCUUCUCUCUAUUAUGGGCAAGUCAGGGAUGGUGAAGAAACAUGCUUGAGUUCCAGGCAGGGUCAGGGAUUAUAUGGAUAGCUGAAGGUGGUCAGGAAGGGAGGAUAGUUGGAAAGUUAUCUGGGAAGGCCAAUGUAUGCACCAGCCUUCUUGUGUGUUCUGCCUCCUCUUCUCCUGACUCCGGAGUGAAGCGAAGCCCGAUGGCAGAGUGUUCCUUUCCUCUGUACACUUUCAGGAAGCAUCCGGCAGCCUAUCCUUAAUCAAAUCAGCAAGGGUGUGGCUUUAAAGAGCUCUCUUGUCAUCUUGCCUUUGCUGACUGUACCCGAGGCACCAGCCUUGUGGGUCACUUUGUUCCACAUUUCAGGAGACUUGGAAUCAGUGGGAUGCUGCUCCAAGGUACUAGAUAGAACCUCAGAGGUGGGGUGGGGGUGGGAAACCAGAGGAUAUGCGCGCCAGGUGGGAGGAUUUACAGGUGUAUCCAGAACAAUGACAGAGAAAGAGGAUGUCACUAAUGCCUUCUUAUGUUGGGGGAAAUAAAUAUCAUUCUUUGUCAAAUGAAAGAAUCUAUCUCUGGCUGAUGACAGAAUGACAGUCUGAGACUCUCCUCCUCAGGGUGCAGGAUGACAGGAAGAAGGCCUGAGCAUUUCAGCCCUGGCCCAUUCCAAGGCUCAGCAGUUCCCCAAGUUUCCCAUUGAAUACUUAUCCAUUAUCCAAGCAAUUCUCUUUCAGCCUAUCAAUCCCCAAGUAAUUAUUAUUUAUCUAAGAGUAGAUCUGAUGCAUAUUCAUGAUGUUUUAUUAUCAGAGAACAUCUGAAAUGGAAGUCAGCUCAGCUAAGUGCUAAAGGGAACCCGGUUGCAAGUGUCUAAUCUGCACACAGUGUUGUGGCAGUGGAAGGAAUCACUCAGCCUACAGUCAGUCAGAUUCACAACUUACCACAGGUCUGCUGCAGUCGGGACAAAACCCAAGAGUGGUUUUCUGGCAUAGGAAGUAUCUGUCUUAAUAAAACAUCCAUGUCCCUGCCCUACUGCCUAAUCGCCUCUCUCCUGGAAGACAGUGAGUCUAAGGGAAGAGUGCAGUAUAGUGUUCCAGAUUCAUUUCACAAGCACCAAAGCUGCAAGUAUGUUACCGGGUUGGUCAGCCCAAGCCUCUCAUUAACUCAGAGUCUGUUGGCUAUCGUUGGCAUUGAGCUGCUGGACUCUCAGCUCAAUCAGUGAUGUGAUGAAAGGUCACUAUAGGGCAUCGAUGCCCUGUAUUGACACAGUGACUUUGAGGAAAGUGGCAGGCUUCCAGAAUCUUUCAAACUAGACUUAAGGUCAUUGAUGGCUUCUCAACCAUAGUCCUCUGCUGUCCUUGACCACCUCCCUUCUACCUGCAUCUUCUGUACUGCUAGGGACACAGUAGGGAACAAUCGGACCUCUCAGAUGACCCUUGGCUCCUUGGUCCUGCAGAUGAGUUCCUAACCCAGCUUCUUCAAUCUCUCUUACUCUGUAGGAUCUGAUCCAAGGCCUUUCUGUUAUUAUCUCUAUCCAUGGAUAAAAUCAGUUACAUAAGAUAUGCAGGUCAGUUGAUGACAGGUCAUGCUGGCCUUGUUUACACACCUGCAACAGACCAACUCUAGCAUGCUUGGUUCUUCCGCAGGACAGAUUAGUUUCUGAUGAAGAAAAGUCAGCUUUUACUUGUUCUGUCAGACUACUGCUGGCAAACUGCAGGGUCUCUGUCUUUCAUUGGACUCUCAGUAGUCCCCAGAAUUCAGUAAGUAUGUCAUCUCAGUGUUUAGGGUAAGAACAUAGUUUCUGUUUCUCAGAGCUUCCAAGCCUCUGUGCAAUACUUCUCAGUUUAAAAUCUAAGGGUAAAGCCCCAGUUUCAUGCAGCUAUGUGUGCUCUUGAAGUCGCUUGUUGCAUUCUUUAUGCCCCCAGUGCGUUUGUUCUCAUGCACUGGUCUGAUUUGGCUGCUGUCUUUAGACCCAUAUUUAGUUCUUUUUGAUGUCGUGACUUUUUCUAAGGCCUCCAAAGACCUCUUCCAGCCUCACCUCCAUUCUUUCAGAGCUGAUCUUGAACAUGCCUUCCUUGGUCUUACACUCAUAGGUCAAAGACAGUGUUACCCAACUCCUAAGUACUUCCGGGUCAUUCUUGAGUGUGUAAAUACUGACUUACCCCAGUCCCUCUGCAGCUCUCCCAGCCCAGCAUGAGCCUUGCCUGGCUGCAUUAGCUUUUCUGCUUUUACAGUGGCCCAGAAGUUCAAGGGUGUGGGUGAACAUAUAACCACACCUUGAAUGGUACCUGGUGCCUGCAUAGCUGCAUGCUGGGCCUGCCUGGCUCCAGGAUUGUGUGUGAGUGACAGCUGUUAAGUGGGCCAGAUCUGUUCAUCAUUUGCCAAGCCCUAGCCUAGCUCUUGGGGGGGGGAAUAAAAUAAUAACAAUAGCAAAGCUCAUUGUUGCUAUUUAAAGAGCUCCUCUACCUGUUGCUACUUGUGCUUAUUCAGGAACAAGUAAUUUGUUAUUUAUGCUUUGUGCUUUGUGGUCCUGUGUGUGUGCUGUAGUUAGAGCAACAGUGCUGAAAUGCUUUGUGCCCCCACCCAGGCCCUCCACAUAGCAUCUGUCCUUGUGGCUUCUCCCAGUCCCCAGCCCUGCCCAAGUCCCUGGUAUAUGCAUGCUGAGACAGCGCUGCCUGCCUCUGCUUCCGUCUGGUAUGGUGAAGGGGGCGGGGGCAGGUGCGCAAAUUGCUCUGGUUAUCUCCACUGCCAUUUCCAUGUGCCCCCCACUCCCUAACUUCAGCCUGGCCCUGCCCUCACUUCUGAUGGAGGAGCUGGAGUCCAGGUACACUUACUGAAGGAUCAGUUGGCUGCUGAGGCUGCGGCGCGGCUGGAGGCCCAGGCACGAGUGCACCAGCUCCUGCUGCAGAACAAAGACAUGCUCCAGCACAUCUCUCUGCUGGUCAAGCAGGUGCAGGAGCUGGAGCUGAAGCUGUCAGGACAGAACACCAUGGGCUCCCAGGACAGCUUGCUGGAGAUCACCUUCCGUUCAGGUGCCCUGCCUGUGCUCUGUGAAUCCACCACCCCUAAGCCAGAGGACCUACACUCACCACUGCUGGGCGCUGGCUUGGCUGACUUUGCCCACCCAGCGGGCAGCCCUUUAGGUAGGCAUGACUGCUUGGUGAAGCUGGAGUGCUUUCGCUUCCUCCCACCUGAGGAUACCCAGCCGAUGAUGGCACAGGGUGAGCCGCUCCUAGGUGGCCUGGAGCUCAUCAAGUUCCGAGAGUCGGGCAUCGCCUCUGAGUAUGAGUCCAACACAGACGAAAGCGAGGAGCGUGACUCAUGGUCACAGGAAGAGCUGCCACGCCUGCUCAAUGUCUUACAGCGGCAGGAGUUGGGUGACAGUUUGGAUGAUGAGAUCGCCGUGUAGGUGCAGGGCGAGGAGCUGGUGAAGGUGGUAGCAUGGUGCCAAGUGGGGGGUCAAGUCUGCCUGUCCCUGGCUGGGGAUGCCCAGGGGAAAGCGCUGCUGAGAACAACACCCAGGGUGGAGAGUGUAGGGUUUCAGAAGAGGGUUGGGAUUUUGCUUUGGAAGGUAAAUGGGGGGGAAGAAAUUGGAUUCUUAGAGACAGGAAUCAGCACCUGUCUUCUGCUAAUGUCUGAAUGGGGUGGAAGCAGGGCUUUCCAGAACCCAGGGCCUUGGGAUGGUCCAUCUUCAGAACCACAGUUCUGGAAGGCCCGUUGCUGCCACCGCUAUCGUCAGGUUCUACCCAAUCUGUCCUCCACGUCUCAGUGACCUACGCUCUCCUGUCUCUGUGGUGCAGACCAUAAAAGGAAGCCAUUGGUACCUUCUCAGGUACUUAGCUUUUUGGAUAUCAGGAUGCUACAAGUUGCCUAACCCUCCCUUCCACUGUAGGAGAAUCCCUUCCCCAGGCCCUGGCUGAGAUCGUAGACGUUGGACAAUUCCCAGGGCUGCUGGGAAAGUGAGCUCUGCCAUUCAGUGAGCAUGGAGGUGACCGGAGUCACAAGUCACAGUGAAAAAACUAGGAAUUGACUCUAGCUGGGUGUUGGGUGUUGCUUCUGAGGACGCUGGGGGUGUUAAUAGGAUUGAAGACCCUGCUGGGAAAGCCUAGGGAAGGGUUAGCCUAGGGGUGCUUAUGAGAUUGCUGCAGCUCAUGUAGGUUUGAUUCUUCAGUUUGGAAACCCUGCCCCGACCUAUCUCCUGCCUGCAACCCAGCUCAUAUAAAUGAGUCUAAGAGCUAUCCUAUUAUCCCUUUUCCUGCCUCGGGGGCUGUGCCUGCCUAAGCUUUGGCAGUACUAUGCCUUUGUGUAAGUCUCAUAGACCCAGAACCCCCUGCCUUAGCUUUCUACCUGUCCCCUCCACUGGGCAGUAGUGGUCGGUUUUUACUGAAAAAAAAAAAAAGAAAGAAAAAAGAGAGAAAGAAAUGGAUGUAAGCUGAUAGCUGAGGCUGUCUACCCUUCAGAAUCACUGCCACUUAGAUCAGAUCAGGGACCACAGCUGUGCCACCCCAGCCUAGCUCUCUGCAGGUGUGUGCCUUGAGCACAGGUGUUAAAAGUGCAACCUUAAUCUCUUACCAUCUAGGUCUUGCCUAGGGGGUCUCCACUCAAUAGUUGGCUGGCUAGGUCCACAAGAAAAGUUCCUUUCCCCCUGUAAGACCUUAACUGCUUAAUAGUUAUUUCAACCUCUGAAGAGAACACUGAUACCCGUUCCAAGUCAUAUGAUGUGGGGAGGAGGCCCUGUUCAUCCUACAAGCCGUAGGCCAGAGUGCAGUGUUAUCAAAGGGACUGUAAGGAAGGAUGGAGUUCUUCAGCCCAAGCUUUGCUUCGAAAUGUAUCAAAAUGCAAACAUGGCCCUUUUUAUAGCCACAGUGGGGUCUCUUUUAAACGAAACAGGCAGUAGAGUUAAAGGAAAUUAACACAGCUUUAUACUAUCACUCCCUAGUGCAUGGGGAUGUUGAUAGUAAUAGAAUGGAGCGGGUGUGUGUGUGUGUGUGUGUGUCUGUGUCUGUGUCUGUGUGUCUGUGUGUGUAUGUGUAGUAAUAGAAUGAAGUGUGUGUGUAUAUAGUAAUAGAAUGGGGUGACUGUGUGUGUGUGUGUGUGUGUGUGUGUGUGUGUGUGUGGUGUGGACAUACUUUUGGACAUCUGAGAAGUGACUAGAAAGAUUCUCCAGGGUGUUCAGAUAAAUGGUAGGGUUGUAUCCUUUUCCCACCCUGAUUUUAUUGACAAGGUAGAAUUCUGUUAGUUUUCUAAUUAACCAUUGGAAGGAGGUCCUGAUACACAAGGAAGGGAGAAUUCCCAGUGUGAGGUCCACAAAACUGAAGGGGGCAGAUGGCGGGGAUUCAAGACAGGCUGAGCUGAAUUUACUCAAUCCCAAUCCAGGGUUCCUUGAGUCUAGGACCUUCAGAUGUAGGCUUUUGUGUAUCAGAGAGAGUGGGAUGUCUGUUUCCUCGAGGUCUACUUCCUGUGAGUGGGGGCUGAGAGUAAAAUCAGAAACAAGUGGAAGUGUGUGGACUGUGGGUGGAAAGGGCUUUGUAGGAUACAGUGAAGAGAGUAUGUGGGCAAGAUGAUGGCUUUUAAAACUCUGUAAAGGAGAAGGAAGGAAUGAAGAGAUGGGAGAACUGGAGAAAUGGCUAAUGGAUGGAUAGAUGCCGACUCAAGACUCAUGUAAGACUUUGUUUGCCCUUGGUUUCUGUCUUUUUUGACCUUCCCCUUUCCCUGAUUAAAGACAUCCCUGGAGAAUUCAUUCAUGUGCCACAUCCUCCCCAGUAAGACCCAAAUCUGGACACAUUUGGUAUGUGGAGAUGAGAAACCAAGAAAAGAUGUAGGGGCCUUGUGGGGUCACCAGCCACCGACCCUCCAUUUAGGCCAAUGAACAAGACAGGAAAUGUCACAGACCUGAUUCCCCGCAGCAGCAUCCUUCCUUGCUUCUUGCUCUGCUAACUCAACCCUGCCUUCCUCCUUUUCAUCCUUCUGCUCUGCCCUAUGUGGAGGACACAUGGACACCAAGGGGUUCCUUAGUGGUGCCCGCCCCAGGUGCAAGAAAGCUCUCGGGCAUACAAGGCUUCGCAAUUGCAGAGGCAGGACAGAUCUCUGCCCAGGAUGGACUGCACAUGGGAACUGGAAACCGUAUUCCUUACAUUCCUGCUUCUACUGAUGCUGUCUGUAAGAACCUUUCUGAGCCUCGCUCUCAGCUGACCUUGUUUACGGAUUGUGUUCCUUGAUUUACUCUUUGCUUGACUGCUCUCCCCUCUCCUCCCUCCCACCUACCCUAGCCUUCUGCUUCCUAAAACUGUUUUGUCAUUAACUGUUGGGUCAGCUCUCUGGGAAACGGUUCUGUUGCUGUAAGUGCACUUACCCUUGGAUGGUGUCACUAGUUAGUGGCUUUUGCUAAAUAAACCUUUCUGAUUUCUAAAA